rnacentral:lncRNA from 1 species
AGGCACAGGGCGGCAGAGUGACAAAGCCACGGCUGCCUCCACCCGAAGUGGGAGUGGGAGUGAGAGUCCCUCUUACCAGCCCUCAACUAGGGAGAGCGUAAAAGUUUGUCUCAAGCGUUCCGAGCGCCCCAAGGUGGCCAUGGAAUGGUGUAGCAGAUUGCUGCAGAUGGUUUCAAUAGUUCUGCUGAAUGCUCCUUGUUUGUGCCUGCAAGAGGAACUCAAGGCUUUAUGUAUGGCCAUUGCUGUGACCUAGUGUGAUGCUCUACUUUUCCACUGAACUCUGCUUGCUCUAACUGAGGACCUUAGCUAUAAUUUAGCCUUUUCUUUUUGUAAGUAACUACACAUAGUUGAGACAAAAUUAUUUUGAUGUUUAAAAAACAAUUUUAUUAACCAGGCGGUGGUGGCACACACCUUUAAUCCCAGCACUUGGGAGGCAGAGGCAGGCGGAUUUCUGAGUACGAGGCCAGCCUGCUCUACAAAGUGAGUUCCAGGACAGCCAGGGCUACACAGAGAAACCCUGUCUUGAAAACAAACAAAGAAACAAACAAACAAGCAAAAGAAAAAGCAACAACAAAAACCAAUUUUAUUGAUUUUUAGCCAUUUAAAAAAAAUUAUAGGUUCUCCUAAGGGUCACAGGCUUUUGAUCAAAAGUUUGUCUUUCUAAUGUUCUCCUAUGUGAUUACAUUAUAAAGUACAUAGAAUCAUAUUGGCUUACUCCAAAUGCCAACUAUCUGAAACGUUUUAGAACAUAUAAAUUCAGUCCCCAUGACAGUACAUUCUACUUCAUUAGUUACUAAUGUUAGAGAAUUGGGAUCUGUUCAUCUGAUCUUUCAAUUUUUUUCUGAAACAAUUGUUUCAAUAAUAUUGAUGCUGCUGGGCUGGUGAGAUGGCUCAGUGGUUAAGAGCACCGACUGCUCUUCCGAAGGUCCCGAGUUCAAAUCCCAGCAACCACAUGGUGGCUCACAACCAUCCUUAACGAAAUCUGUUGCCCUCUUUUGGAGUGUCUGAGGACAGCUACAGUGUACUUACAUAUAAUAAAUAAAUAAAUCUUUAAAAAAAAACAAACAAAAAAA